rnacentral:rRNA from 1 species
GUGCCAGCAGCCGCGGUAACUCCAGCUCCAAUAGCAUAUAUUAAAAUUGCUGCAGUUAAAAAGCUCGUAGUUGGAUCUGGGUUCUGGUUUAGAAGCCGUUUGUUUUUUGUAAUUAUAUUAUAAUAUCAUUAGGCGACGGUAUUUCUGAACCGAAUCUUUCAGCUGUGUCUGUGAGGUACUUCGGUACUUUGUGGAUAAUAUCGAUUGUCUGGUUGAUCCUUCGGGUUCACUGGCUUCGGUAUUACGCACUGUUAAUGCCUUUAAUCGGGUGUUCAAGUGUGGGCAGCACGUUUACUUUGAACAAAUUUGAGUGCUCAAGCCAG